GGGCCCGCACAAGCGGAGGAACAUGUGGUUUAAUUCGAUGAUACGCGAGGAACCUUACCCGGGCUCGAACGGCUAUAGAAUAACGAUGAAAGUAGUUAGCCAGCAAUGGCUGUAGUCGAGGUGCUGCAUGGUUGUCGUCAGCUCGUGCCGUGAGGUGUCGGCUUAAGUGCCAUAACGAGCGCAACCCUUACUGAUAGUUACCAUCAGGUGAAGCUGGGGACUCUAUCGGGACUGCCACCGUAAGGUGCGAGGAAGGUGGGGAUGACGUCAAAUCAGCACGGCCCUUACGUCCGGGGCUACACACGUGUUACAAUGGGUGGUACAGAAGGCAGCUACACAGCGAUGUGAUGCCAAUCUCCAAACCACUCCCAGUUCGGAUUGGAGUCUGCAACCCGACUCCAUGAAGCUGGAUUCGCUAGUAAUCGCGCAUCAGCCAUGGCG
rnacentral:rRNA from 1 species